rnacentral:rRNA from 1 species
GGAAGACAAGCCAAGUCAAGUGCAGCGUCAGGUACACACACACCACACACGCAUAGAUAAUUUCCAUCCUCUCCUUGCGGCCCUGCAGUUUGCGUACGUGUUUUGGUGAAGGGGAUUACCACAGACCGGCCGGAUCGCUCCACCCCACUCUCGCGCUACUCCUCGUCUCUCCGUGGGUGUCCGAGCUUCACCCCUACACCUACUCCUCGUCUCGCCGGCCAGCCAUCUUCUCUUCUGCUGCACAUCGAAUCCCGCCAGAUACGGCCGGCAUGGGCUUACUUCGAUUAGCCACUCAUCUUUUCAGGGUGUAGGUUUAGGUUGGCUACACCGAAUUCCGCGGGUUCAACGCAGAAUUAUUGACAGAUCAAGCUCUGAGCGCGGCGACGGCUCCAACUGCAACCGCACUGCUAACCGAGCUCGCUCUCGCUCCGAGUUGCAACUAGUGAAUAAAUUCCAGAUCCCGCUAGGCUAGGGUCUAGACUUGGCGCAAACUUUCCUGUUCAAUCACUGGCCGUGCAUUCGAGCUCUGUGGCCAUGGAGGCGGCUCUAGUGACUGUGGCGACGGGGGUCCUCAAACCUGUCCUCAGGAAGCUGGCCACCCUGCUCGGCGACGAGUACAAGCGUUUUAAGGGUGUGCGCAAGGAGAUCGGGUCUCUCACUCGUGAACUCGCCGCCAUGGAGGCUUUUAUCCUCAAGAUGUCGGAGGAGGAGGAGGAUCCCGAUGUGCAGGGUAAAGUCUGGAUGACUGAGGUGCGGGAAUUGUCCUAUGAUCUGGAGGAUGCCAUCGAUGACUUCAUGCAAAGUGUUGGUGACAAAGACGAAAAGCCAGAUGGCUUCAUUGAGAAGAUCAAGAGCUCGCUAGGGAAGUUGGGGAAGAUGAAGGCUCGCCACCAAAUCGGCAAGGAGAUUCAGGAUCUGAAGAAACAGAUCAUUGAGGUGGGCGAUAGGAACGCAAGGUACAAGGGUCGUGAGACCUUCUCCAAUACCAAAAAUGCGACCGUUGACCCUAGAGCUCUUGCUGUAUUUGAGCAUGCAUCGAAGCUUGUUGGAAUCGAUGAACCCAGGGCUGAGUUGAUCAAGUUGUUAACUGACGAGGAUGGAGUUGCAUCAACACAACAACACGUGAAGAUGGUCUCCAUUGUUGGAUCGGGAGGAAUGGGCAAAACAACUCUUGCAAACCAAGUGUAUCAAGAGCUAAAAGAGAAAUUCAAGUGUAAGGCUUUCAUAUCUGUGUCACGAAAUCCAGAUAUGACGAAUAUCUUGAGAACCAUUCUCAGUGAAGUCAGUGGCCAAGCUUAUGCUAGCACAAAAGCAGGGACUAUACAACAACUCAUCGGCAAGAUCACCAAUGUUCUAGCACACAAAAGAUCUGGUGGUUGCCAUCGAUGGCUUGUACAGGCGAUGUUUUCGGAUGCAACAGGAAGGCUCCGUUCUGGCAGUGAGAUGCAAUCUAUGGACAACAGCUUGAUGUAGAGAGUAUGGUUGUGCAACGGUCGUGACGAGAUUUCUAGCGUAUCACAUGUAGAUGUUGGAAUCGUGGAAAUCGGUGGCGACAACACAUGAUUGACUUUGAUUUGGUGGUCUUUUGAGCACUCUGUCUGGAGCUCCAGGAUGAAAACCCUAGGUCUGACUUAAUAUGGUUAUACCUGGCAAUGACAAUUUUUUUGCAGUAUUACCUUGUUGUUGUUGAGGGCAUUGCCCGGUUAUACUCGGACUUGUUCUUCAAAGUGAAAACUUAGAAUCUGGCCUUUGGUGGUUUGAUCUAAUGUCGACGACAAUUGAGUGGCGCUCCCUUAUUGAAGGUGUUGCUAUUGAAAAACUUUGUUGUCCUUGUGGUGUCAAGAGAUGGUUGGUGCAGAUAUGGUCAUUGAUGUAGUUUGUUAAUCAUUUUUUUGAUU